CCCGGUAUCCUUCUGCCUGUGACUCCAGGGAACAGCCAGGAGGAGAGGAGUAAGUACGCUGGGACUUACAGAGCAAGUGACUGACCUUCAGAGACCAAAGCAGAAAUAAAUAAAGAUGCCAAGACCAAAGAUCA